UACGUAGGGUGCGAGCGUUAAUCGGAAUUACUGGGCGUAAAGCGUGCGCAGGCGGUUCGUUGUGUCGGUGGUGAAAUCCCCGGGCUUAACCUGGGAAUGGCCAUGGAAACUGGCGAACUGGAGUGCGGCAGAGGGGGGUGGAAUUCCGCGUGUAGCAGUGAAAUGCGCAGAUAUCAGGAAGAACACCUAUGGCGAAGGCAGCUCUCUGGGACGGUACUGACGCUGAGACGCGAAAGCGUGGGGAGCGAACAGG
rnacentral:rRNA from 1 species